rnacentral:snRNA from 1 species
GAGCGUGUGUCUGGUUGACACGGCUGAACAUAGAUCGCUGUUUCGUCGGCAGAUCUGUUUAGAAUCGAUGUCCCGCUUAAACACAAGUUUCACGUAUUCGGGUCUCCCGCUGCCUCGUCGCACGGUAGAGGCUCAUUCUAAAUUGGUCGCUCUCCCGAGUGCACCGUAGGGUUUACAUGUUCACUGGUCCUGUCUAAAUUCAAAGGUAGGGUUAUAACUCGACUACAGUUUAUGACGCUCCAAUACGGCACUACAAGUGGUAGUUUGCCUUCCUUU